CGGCAGGUUAAUCCAGCAGCAGCAGCAGCAGCAGCAGGAGGGGCAGGGAAGGGCCAGGAAUAAGCUGCGGGUGUUCACUGUUUUCUCUUCUAUUGACGGGGUUGGUUAGCUGUGGGCGAUGGGGUUUGAGUGCUGACCGGCAGCCCUGCUCCUCCAGGUAAAUGGGGAGGGAUCAUGUGCACCACUAUCAUGGUCCUCAGUACGCUCGCCAUCUUCCUGCAUCGAAGGUUCUUCAACAAAGUCAAGCCGCACCCCGAGGAAUUCGAUGAGAAAGAGGUCACCGCACGUGGCGAUGGCAGGUAACUCUCCCACGCUCACUAGUGGAGGCUGCAUCUCUCAGAUGCGGGUUCUAGAUGUGCAGCGCACCCUCCUUGCUAUGGCUAGAAAGAGGUGAAUUUAUCCUCAUCCCAGUUCUGGAGCUGGCCUGGGCAGCCUCUCCCAACAGCUCAACGCCAGGCUGCUUCUGCAGAACUCCCCAACGUCAAAACCACCUCCCCAAACAAGCUUGCAAUGACCGAUGUACGGCCGAGGAGCAAGACUGCGCUGGGAGGUCGCUGGGGAGACGCCACUAAUCACACUGGAAGAUAAUAAGGAACAUCUCUGCUCCUCACAACCCAAGCCUGACAUUUCUUCAGGAGGUUCACUAGCUGGGCCCCCAAGCCUUGUUUUUUUUUUCAAGGUUCUAGAUGCACAAUGUAGCUCCCGGGAUGCAUUCAAUGCAGCUUUGCUUUAAUAAAUUGUUGUUUUUGUCCCC